GACGAACGCUGGCGGCGUGCCUAAUACAUGCAAGUAGAACGCUGAAGCUUGGUGCUUGCACCGAGCGGAUGAGUUGCGAACGGGUGAGUAACGCGUAGGUAACCUGCCUGGUAGCGGGGGAUAACUAUUGGAAACGAUAGCUAAUACCGCAUAAGAGUAGAUGUUGCAUGACAUUUGCUUAAAAGGUGCAAUUGCAUCACUACCAGAUGGACCUGCGUUGUAUUAGCUAGUUGGUGAGGUAACGGCUCACCAAGGCAACGAUACAUAGCCGACCUGAGAGGGUGAUCGGCCACACUGGGACUGAGACACGGCCCAGACUCCUACGGGAGGCAGCAGUAGGGCAUCUUCGGCAAGGGACGGAAGUCUGACCGAGAAACGCCGCGUGAGUGAAGAAGGUUUUCGGAUCGUAAAGCUCUGUUGUAAGAGAAGAACGAGUGUGAGAGUGGAAAGUUCACACUGUGACGGUAUCUUACCAGAAAGGGACGGCUAACUACGUG
rnacentral:rRNA from 1 species